GGAACGCUAGCGGUAUGCUUCCCACAUGUUAGUCGGACGGAAAAGAAAUUUUCAGUGGCGAACGGGUGAGUACACGUGAAUUGCCUUUAGAAGAGGAUAACUAUUAGAAAUAAGUUGCUAAAACUCUAUAUGCCUUACGGUGAAAAAAGAAAUUUGCCUAAAGAGAAGCUCGCGUCUGAUUAGCUAGUUGGUGGGGUAAAGGCCUACCAACGGCGACGAGCAGUAGCUGGUCUGAGAGGAUGAUCAGCCACACUGGAACUGAGACACGGUCCAGACUCCUACGGGAGGCAGCAGUGAGGAAUUUUCUGCAAUGGGCGAAAGCCUGACAGAGCAAUACCGCGUGAGGGAUGACGGCCUAUGGGUUGUAAACCUCUUUUCUCAAGGAGGAAAAUUUGACGUUACUUGAGGAAUAAGCAUCGGCUAAACCUGUGCCAGCAGCCGCGGUAAUACAGGGGAUGCAAGUGUAAUCCAGGAAUCAUAGAGGCGUAAAU
rnacentral:rRNA from 1 species